UUCCCAAGCUUCACUCCCUUCUCUGGAGCUGCUCCAGCCCCUCUUAUUGUCCUGAGGGGCUCCAAGACUCCAGGUCCCGCCGGGUGUCCCGAGCUGUCCCCGCCCGUCCUCCCCGGGCACCGCUCACCUCCUCCCGGCUCAUGUCCUCCGGGGCCAGGCCAUCCACCACCGCUGGGCCUCUGCCCGCUUUCCCUGCUUUCUUUUUGGGUGCCUGAGGACAGAAAGCCAAGCACAGCAGGUGAAGGAGUGAGGAGGAACCGUGCACGCCCCGAGCC